rnacentral:misc_RNA from 1 species
ACAAACUUGGUCAUUUAGAGGAAGUAAAAGUCGUAACAAGGUCUCCGUUGGUGAACCAGCGGAGGGAUCAUUACAGAGUUAUAAAACUCCCAACCCUUUGUGUACUUACCACUAUUGCUUCGGCGGGCUGCAGCUACCCUGUACCUACCUGGUAGUUCGCGUGAAGGCCCGCCAGAGGACCAUUAAACUCUUGUUACCCUGUACGUAUUUCUGAAUGCUUCAACUUAAUAAGUUAAAACUUUCAACAACGGAUCUCUUGGUUCUGGCAUCGAUGAAGAACGCAGC